GUGCUUUCUUUGGCAGCAUAUUUACUAAAAUUGGAACAAUAAAGAUCAGCAUGGCCCCUGUCCAAGGAUAACUGACAAAUUCAUGACGUUUUGGAGUAAUAU
ensembl:snRNA U6 U6 spliceosomal RNA